CACUUAUUUCGGCAAAGGAAGAGACGGUAUUUUCGGACACGUGUUGGCAAAAUGAGAGGAGAGAAGGGGAGCGUGUGUUCGGUUUGCUUUGGUUCCGUUCUCUUUCUCUCGACGAUGGCUACCUCUCUGGUUUGAUCUAAGAUUCAGAUUUGAUUCUGAUAAAGGGUUUGUUAAUCUGGUCGAAAACUAUGAAAAAAUUUUGUUUCUUUAUGAUCCUUGUCUGCUUAAACGCAGUCUUUUCUAGUGGUUACCAGACGCUCUUGAACACUGAUAUGGAAAGAGAACUUGAUCAUAUGCCCAGGUUCUUUGAAACCGCUGUUGCUUAUAAGCAGAAGAUUGGUUUCAACCGCUUUUGAUGAGGCGAGAGAUUACAGAUAUUGAACACUUGUUCAUUGCUCAUAUCAGUGGAAUGGACACAGUCGCUCGUGGACUGAAAAAUGCAGCCAAGAUGUUGGAGAUCUGCACAAGUUGGAGGUUUUGGAGAAGCUUGAAGCAAAACUAAAGGCUGAAGGGAAGGAAGAAGAGAAUGGAGAAGGAGAAGGUGAUGAUGAAGCUGAUGAAUCUGAGGGACACUAUCUUUCCCAAGAAACAGCACUCCCAUUUCCUCACACAUCCUCUCUGCACCUCCUCCACUGCCGCCAAACACUUGACUCCACACAAACACAUCAUUUAAAAGAAGCUCUGGUGGAUUCUCUCUUACGUAAGAGAUCAUCUCUUCCGUCACGUCCACGA